UGACCGGUGGUGCAGUGGUAGCGCAGGGGGCUCUGGGUCCCCUGACCCUGGUUCGAAUCCGGGCCGGGCAG
rnacentral:tRNA from 1 species